rnacentral:rRNA from 1 species
UACGAAGGGGGCUAGCGUUGCUCGGAAGCACUGGGCGUAAAGGGUGCGUAGGCGGGUCUUUAAGUCAGGGGUGAAAUCCUGGAGCUCAACUCCAGAACUGCCUUUGAUACUGAGGAUCUUGAGUUCGGGAGAGGUGAGUGGAACUGCGAGUGUAGAGGUGAAAUUCGUAGAUAUUCGCAAGAACACCAGUGGCGAAGGCGGCUCACUGGCCCGAUACUGACGCUGAGGCACGAAAGCGUGGGGAGCAAACAGG